UGCCAGCAGCCGCGGUAAGACGGGAGAUGCAAGCGUUAUUCGGAUUUAUUGGGCGUAAAGGGUCUGUAGGUUGUCAAUUAAGUCUAUGGUCAAAUUCCGAAGCUCAACUUCGGGCCGGCACUAGAAACUAAUUGACUUGAGUACGUUAGAGGCAGGGGGGAUUCCCAGUGUAGCGGGUGAAAUGCGUAGAUAUUGGGAGGGAACAUCGAUGGCGAAGGCACCCUGCUAUGGCCGAUACUGACACUGAAAGACGAAAGCUAGGGGAGCAAAUGGGAUUAGAUA
rnacentral:rRNA from 1 species